rnacentral:rRNA from 1 species
AGCAGCCGCGGUAAUUCCAGCUCCAAUAGCGUAUAUUAAAGUUGUUGCAGUUAAAGAGCUCGUAGUUGAAUUUCGGGAUCAGUACGCUGGUCAUGCCUUUGGUAUGCACUGGUGUCACUGGUUUCUCCCUUCUGAAGAUCCGUGAUGUCAUUAAUUUGGUGUCGCGGGGAAUCAGGACUGUUACUUUGAAAAAAUUAGAGUGUUUAAAGCAGGCUCACGCUUGAAUACAUUAGCAUGGAAUAAUGAAAUAGGACGUUUGACCCUAUUUUGUUGGUUUCUAGGAUCGACGUAAUGAUUAAUAGGGAUAGUUGGGGGCAUUAGUAUUCAAUUGUCAGAGGUGAAAUUCUUGGAUUUAUUGAAGACUAACUACUGCGAAAGCAUUUGCCAAGGAUGUUUUCAUUAAUCAAGAACGAAAGUUAGGGGAUCGAAGACGAUCAGAUACCGUCGUAGUCUUAACCAUAAACUAUGCCGACUAGGGAUCGGAUGAUGUUAAUUUUAUAAUGACUA